UGUAAUCGAGAGGCCCCAAAAAAAAGUCAUAUGUUCUAAGGGGACACUACUCCUGUAGAAAAUUAUGUAGCCACCGGUUGAUUCAGCCUUUUUCUCAAAGGCAACGAGAAACCCAUCUAGUGGACUGCCUGUCAUUGGGACAACUAGGCAAAAUCGGUCCACACAUUUCGAUCCAAAAAAUUGAUCCAAUCAUUUAGGUUACGAGAAGCCUCCGACAACAUGCUCGGCCUAUCUCUAGUAUGCAUUCAACGGUGUUAGCGCCCAUAUCAUUGGGCCAACGUAAACCUUGCCCCCUCCUCUUUUGUUCAGCGUGACCUACCUUGACACCAAUGAUAAGGACGAAAACCCCCUAAAUGUGUAUUAGAGAUAGACUGAGCCUGUUGUCGGAGGCUCUAAGACGAUUCUCGAAGUCUCUAAGCAGCGGUAGUAGUCUUUUCCAAAUCCCAGAGUCUCUAAGGAAUCUCGGCAUCAUUAUAGAUGGUGCCGCUUAUGUGCGACGGGCAAAAACAUUGUAAGCCUAAAACGGCGCCAUCAUGCCGGUGGCGGAGAGCUUCCUAUGCCAUGAUGAAGGCCCCCGUGCCACUGCCGGACGGGCCUGGUGAUCGCUGUGGUCAACAGAAGCUAUGCCAGCUGCUGCUGUUGCAAACUCAGGACAGAAGCAAAUAAAAACGAAGCCAACCCAAAAGGCCUCUUCAAACACAAAAUGAUGUCUGAGCAUGUGCACAAGUGCUGUUCCUGUGAGAAGUGCACAAGAAGAGACCACAUGCUGGAAUCUGAAAGGGCAGCAUCAUUGCAUUGUGACUACCACUGUAGGUUGUUUGAUUGAAGUUGGAACAUGCCAGUGUCACUGCAUAAGCAUCUCUAAGCAUUUGUUUGCAGGGGCAUGUGUACAGCAAGUAGAGACAUUCCUUUGCUGCAAACAAAGGGUCAGGCCUCACCUGUUUCCAUCACAUUCAACUAUUCAACAGGCUGGUGCAUGAAAAUUGUAUGUUCAUCAAGUUCAUAGAAGAAACAUUGCAUAAUUUGUUCAGACAUCACACAUCAACAUGUUAAAUGUUAAACACAAUAUCAGUAUGUUAGUAUGUCUUCAGUCUUGACAGGUGACACUUGGAACCUGGUGAAAGGCCAUUGAGUACUACAACAAUGAGCUAGAAAAUGUGAAUAACACAGUUGAAAGGAAAAGACUAUCAGUAAAUAGUAAAUACUUGCACAUGAGAAUGAGAAAAUGUGAAUAACACAGUUGACAGGAGUAUCAAAAGUUCGCUGUAAAUAAACCCUCAGCGCUCAGUUCUCAAACAUGCUUUACAGCAACUUUACAUUGUAUAGAUGCUUAUCUUCCAAUUUCA